CCUGCCACUAGAAGCAUUGCAGCUGUGGCUGCUGUAUCACACGUGCAUCAGUCAGUCAGUGGCAGAGAGGAGAGAGCCAGUGUCUACACUAGGUGUUCUGACUUAAAACAACUGAAUGAUUAGAAGCCUAACACU